AUGCUCCACUUGUGAAAGUAAAUCUUUUGGACUCUCUUUGUUAUUAGGGCAGCAUUUAUUAGUGCUACACUGCCAGAUGAGACAUGUAGAACUAGUGGACAACCAAGAUUGUGGGUUACAAUGAGCAUAGACCAAUAUUUUGGCCAUCUUGACUGCAGGUGUGAUGAUGUAACAUUCAGAAUUUGUGACUCAGUCAACAGCAAAGAAGAUACCAGCUUGCUGUGUUACAUUAGCAACCACUUAAAGUCUCAGAUGAACCUUUAAGUACUCUUCAUGAUCUUUUGACUUUUCCCUUUUAGGGAUCACCACAGCUAGUCAUCUGUCUCCAUCUAAUCCUAUGUACCCUUCUGCAUCUUCUUCUCUAACGACCACCUUCAUGUUCUCUUUAACUCCAUACAUAAAUCUUCUCUUUGGUCUUCCUCUAGGCCUACUGCUUGACAGUUCCUCAACAUCCUUCUACCAAUGUACUCACGACCCCUCCUCUGUACAUGUCCAAACCAUCUCAGUCUGGUCUCUCUGGUUUUAUCUACAAAAGAUAUAACAUGAGCUGUUCCUCUGAUGUACUAAUUCCUGAUCCUAUCUAUCCUCAUCACUCCCAAAGAGAACUUUAAAAUCUUCUCCUCUGCUGCUUCCAGCUCUGCCCCUUGUCUCUUCCUCAGUGUCACAGUCUCUAAACCAUAAAACAUCACUGUUCUCACCACCAUCGUGUACAGUGUUCCUUUCAUUUUCGCUGAUAUACUUUUUUGAUCACACCUGACACUUUUCUUCAACUGUUCCAACCUGCUUGGACACGUUUUUCUUUUACACCCUUUUUUUGUUCUGGACUGUUGACCGUAAGUACUUAAAAUCCUCCACGUUCUUAAUCUCUGCUCCCUGUAACCUCAUGACCACUUGAGUCCCUCUUAUUCACCCUCAUGUAUUCUAUUUUACUUUGGCUAACCUUCAUUCCACUCCUUUCCAGACAAGUAGGCAAACUUCUAUCUCUAGAUUUCCCUCCCUUGUCCCUGCUCUCACUGCAGAUCACAAUGUCGCCUGCAAACAUUAUAGUCUAUGGAGAUUCUUGACUAACCUCUGUCAAUCUGUCUAUCACCACAGCAAAAAAAGAAGUGGCUCAGAGUGAAUCCUUGAUGCAGUCCCACUUCCAACUUGAAGUCCUCUUUCACACCUAGAGCACACCUCACCACUGUCCUACAGCCCUCAUACAUGUCCUGCCCCACUCUAACGUACUUAUUUGCUACUCUAGACUUCAUCAUGCAAUACCACAGCUACCCUCUCGGCACUGUGUCAUUUUGCUUUCUCUAGCUCAGGAGUGUCACAAAUGUUGGGCUCAUGGGUCGAAAUUGUCAAGUUAAAAGCACUUGCGAGCCAAAGAAUGAAUAAAAAUAACAUAACGAAACAUUGGUGUGAAUUUUUUGAAUCUGUUCUACAAAAUAUGAUCAUUUUAAUAAACAAAUAUCUGUAUUUAGCCAAGUUUGAUAAAUAAGUUCCAAUCAGAUUUUAAUGCACUAAAGUCUGCAUUUUAGUAUAGGAUGUGAAUAGAGGUGGUUCUAUUCACUAUGAAAUUAAAGGGAAUGUAAAAAGUGUGGAUAUUAAAUGACAAAUGUUUGGUAUUGUAACAUUCAAUUCAACAUUCACUUUUAAUAUUUUAACAUGUCUGUAAUAUUUUUGCUCUAAAAAUAAAAAGUUUCCACCUGCACCAGCCACCAGUACUGGUCGGUCAAAUCUUUCUUGGAAUUCCAAUUUGGACACAACUCUUCUAGGUACUCCCUCCAUCUUCUUUUUCACACCUGUUGCACUUGUCAGUACAUUUCCAUCUCAAUCCUUGAUCACCCUAACUUGUUGAACAUCCUUCCCAUCUCAGUCUCUCUGCCUCUCAAUCUGUAUAAAUCUUUCUCUCCUUCAUUACUGUUCAACCUAUGAUACAAGUCAUUGUAUGCUACUGCUACCUUCACUUUAUACUGCAUCACUCUGUAUUCCUGGUGACUCUCUUCAGUCCUCACCUUGUCUCAUUUGUUCUUAGCUGAACUCUGUCUGAACUUAUUCCUGUACUUUCUCUUUCCACCACCAAGUUGUCUUGUCAACUUUCCUUUCAGAAUAAAUACCAAUUACUCUUCUUCAUGUCUCCCUGACAGAGUUAGCUGUAGUUGUCCAAUUAUUUGGAAGCGCCUCCUGGCAUCCCAGGGCCUAUCUCAAGUCCUCCCUAAAAGCCACACAACUUUCUUACUUUUUCAGCUUCCACCUCUUUGUCAUCUGCUCUAUCUUUGUCCUUUUCAUCCUCCUUACCAUCAGAGUAAUUCUAUUUCCACCAGCACCCUGUUGGUCAACAGCACCAGUGGUGGUUGUUGUUAACCUGGGCCUUGGCCGAUCCAGUGUGAAGAUCAUUUAAUUGACUUGCAUUGGUAAAUUUGGUAAAUGUCUUUGUCAGGACUCAGCAGGUAGCGCAGUGCACCUUUCUGCCGGCCCUGCCGUUUCUCUCUCUUUCCCUCUCUCCACAGGUGAUUGCAGUUGGCUGGUGGGUGUGGCGUGCACCUGCGCCUCAUUCAGCACCGUGGCUUGGAGUACUUAAGCAUGUCUCUCAGGUCGCCUAACAUUCUGGAUCCCACUCCAGGGACUCUCCCUUGUGCUCUGACUUCCACGGCCUGCCUCCUGACUCAGCCAUACUUGAUUCCACACCAGAUACCCUCUCGUGCUCAGACCAACACUGCUCUCUACUUGGAUCUCAUCCCUAGGCUCCCUUGGUAUUACCAAACCGGGAUAAGGACCUUUUCAUACCACCCUGGUUCCUCCAGCUGCUCACUGACCACAAAUCCCACCAUCAGUGCUGCCCGCUGAGUCCGUCUUCCAGCUCCACUCUCCCCGGCUAGGUUUCCCGAACUCGGCGAGUAAUCGGUCCCGGUCCUACGUCUCUGUCAGACGCUUGCCCAUUGUGGUUCCUCUACCUUUCUGUAUCUCCGCUCACUUAAUAAACACCUUAAACUGCU